rnacentral:lncRNA from 1 species
UUGCUGUAUUAUUAGAGAUUUAGCUAGAGAUUCCGAGGAAUAGUUGCAGGCUUGCUGCAAUCUGCAUAGUAUCAUGAGGGGCUACAAACUACCAUGGUUACACAUAUUGUGCUUUUUACUGCAAUGGAACAUACUUGUAUUAUUUUGACAUUACAACAUCUGCUUCCUGGACUCAAUCAUAUUUUCAAGAAUCACUAAGUUUUGUAUUGUGCAUAUUUUUACUUCCCUACAUGUUUUUAUACCGAAGAAUGAGGAGACAGAUGUGGAUAUUUCCCAUAGAGUUGAGAUUGUUUCAGUUCACACUUUAAUUUGUGUAGCAUUGCUUGCCACUUAGGCUUUUUAUAUCAUGGCAAGAGUAUGACUGCUUUUGCUGUAUAAACUGGAGUCUUGACGAUGGGGUGAAGUUAAUUUUGUACAAAAAAGGCUGAUGGGAAACCAAGAAAAAUUUGAUAGCAAUGGGAAGAAAGGAGUUCCAUAAAAAUAAGACAUUGUCUUCAAUAAGUAUAGCAAGCAAUGCUUGAGUGAAAUUGACAUCAAACAAGAACAAGGUUUGUUAAUCAUUUUAUGCACCUAAACUCCCUAUAUGUCAAAAUGGAAGGGAGGGUCUACAAAAAGGAGAAGACAAAUGAACAGAUCAAUUGUAUUUGAAAAAACUGGGGGACUUAAAAUUUCAGCCCCACAAUUGAAUUGGAAUAUUUACAUUGGGUUGACAACCGACUGUAGAAAAAAUAAACUGAAAAUCUGAAACAGGUCCUAUUGAUGCGAAGGUGUUGACACUGGUGUUGCCUCCUAUAGCAAUGAUUGACAAAUUAGGGCCAUAAAGCCAACCAUGAUGCCAUAGUUAUGGUUAUGGAUUUGAAUUUCUACUAUGUCAUGGAGUAUAUGGUUCUAAAAGAGUAUGCUUAGUGAAUAAUGGCA